GCUAUAGCUCAGUUGGUUAGAGCAUGGUGCUGAUAAUGCAAAGAUUGCAGGUUCGAUCCCUGUAUGGGAUGGCCA